ACGCGCGGAACCUUACCAGGUCUUGACAUCCUCUGACACUCCUAGAGAUAGGACGUUCCCCUUCGGGGGACAGAGUGACAGGUGGUGCAUGGUUGUCGUCAGCUCGUGUCGUGAGAUGUUGGGUUAAGUCCCGCAACGAGCGCAACCCUUGAUCUUAGUUGCCAGCAUUUAGUUGGGCACUCUAAGGUGACUGCCGGUGACAAACCGGAGGAAGGUGGGGAUGACGUCAAAUCAUCAUGCCCCUUAUGACCUGGGCUACACACGUGCUACAAUGGGUGGUACAAAGGGCAGCAAAACCGCGAGGUCGAGCCAAUCCCAUAAAACCACUCUCAGUUCGGAUUGUAGGCUGCAACUCGCCUACAUGAAGCUGGAAUCGCUAGUAAUCGCGGAUCAGCAUGCCGCGGUGAAUACGUUCCCGGGCCUUGCACUCACCGCCCGU
rnacentral:rRNA from 1 species